rnacentral:rRNA from 1 species
UACGUAGGGUGCGAGCGUUAAUCGGAAUUACUGGGCGUAAAGCGUGCGCAGGCGGUUCGUUGUGUCUGAUGUGAAAGCCCCGGGCUCAACCUGGGAAUGGCAUUCGAAACUGCGAGGCUAGGGUACGGAAGAGGGAAGCGGAAUUUCUGGUGUAGCGGUGAAAUGCGCAGAUAUCAGGAGGAACACCGGUGGCGAAGGCGGGUCUCUGGGCCGAUACUGACGCUGAGGAGCGAAAGCGUGGGGAGCGAACAGG